rnacentral:rRNA from 1 species
UACGUAGGGUGCAAGCGUUAAUCGGAAUUACUGGGCGUAAAGCGUGCGCAGGCGGUUAUGCAAGGCAGAUGGGAAAUCCCCGGGCUUAACCUGGGAACUGCAUUUGUGACUGCAUAGCUGGAGUGCGGCAGAGGGGGAUGGAAUUCCGCGUGUAGCAGUGAAAUGCGUAGAUAUGCGGAGGAACACCGAUGGCGAAGGCAAUCCCCUGGGCCUGCACUGACGCUCAUGCACGAAAGCGUGGGGAGCAAACAGG